rnacentral:rRNA from 1 species
CGGGGUGAGUAAUGUCUGGGAAACUGCCCGAUGGAGGGGGAUAACUACUGGAAACGGUAGCUAUACCGCAUAACGUCGCAAGACCAAAGAGGGGGACCUUCGGGCCUCUUGCCAUCGGAUGUGCCCAGAUGGGAUUAGCUAGUAGGUGGGGUAAUGGCUCACCUAGGCGACGAUCCCUAGCUGGUCUGAGAGGAUGAUCAGCCACACUGGGACUGAGACACGGCCCAG